GCAUCGCCGCCGCAGCCGCCGCCGCUCGGCUGACUGGGGCAGGACCACUCACUGGACUGGCGGCGGCGCCGCUGUCUCUGCUCGGCUGACCAGGGCAGGACGACUCCUUCCCCUCCGGCGACCUCACCCUCCACCGCACCUCAACUUCGCCCGGUCCCUGCUCACCCGUCGCCUGUUCCCUUUGGUGAGUCUGCUUUGCUUUCCUCGCUGAUGCUUCUUCCUCUUGCCAUUUGGUGAGUCGUGCCGGAUUCAAUUUGUCAGCCAAGCGGGGUCGCCUCUCCUUCGCCCUGGCAGUCGCUGCCAAAUGGCUCCUUGAGUACAAACUCAGUCCAUGAGAGGUGAUAUAAUCAAAUUUGUUUGGGUAUAUUGAUUGGUCUAUUGAAAUAUCAAAACACUAGGAGAAUGUCAUUUUACCUAGCUUGAGUGAAUAUAUAGGUUAUUGUCCUCAGAAAUACUGGCACCCAUGACCCAUCUGGAAUAUUGGUUCAGUUAUCUCAGAGACCCAGAAGCACCUAAAGAUGCAAUAAAAGCUCUUAUUUUGUACCCCCUAGAAUUGUGAAAUAAUCUCCCUAAACCUAGAGCUUGUGUGAUGAGCCUUCACUCCUGUCUUAACAUCAUCAAGAUUAGGCAACCCAAGGUGCUUCUUUGGUGUUACGAAACGCUUUGUGAUUAAGCAAAUUGCCAUGGUCAGUACUCUGUUGCAGCCUUGCUGGGUGGUUUUUCUUACUUUUUAGCCAUGCCUCUUCACUUUUACGCUUUGUGCUCUUGUCAUUGACUCCACAAACGGACAGUUCAUAAAGACAGUACAUGGUAAAUUUCCUGGUUGGUUAAGUUGUUAGCUCCAACACUUUUUAGAGCAUCUUCUUGCUGCGUAAGAUCGUGGGUUUACAUCUGGUAAGCUUACUCCAUUUCGAUUUUCAAUAGAUUAGCACUUUCAAGCUUUUAAUUGUUGCUUCCAUAAAAUAGGUGAUGCAAGUCCUCUAGCAAAUCAAGGCUUGGAGGAAAGUCGUUCCUUUUCAGGCAUACUUAAUAGUUCUUUCUCAUCUUUGCAUAACGAUAAUUUUCAGUAACGAAACUUGGUACUUGGUUUUUUUAGUGUACUUUCAAAGUUUCUGGUAGCAAUUGGUUUAUUCUAGAAAAAUAGGUGGCAGCACUAUGUAGGAUGUGUGGUUCUUGGAAAAAAGUUUGAGUAUCUGAUUAGCUUUGCAUUUGUUUUUAUCAGUAGACCUAUAAAGCUACUGAUUUAUCAUUCCAAGUAAUUCCACCUUUGCUCACAUUAGUAGUCUAAAUUUUAUUAGAAUGUGCUUAUGUUCAGGCUCACAACAGAUCGAGGUGCUUGCUUGUUCAAAUUUCUAAUACAUGCACUACUACUGACAAUGUUUCCAUGUGUGUUGAGUCACCAUUUUAUUGCCACCCUGCAUAUUUGAGUACCGGAACAUCUAUGGUCUAAGCUGGUCAAUUGUUGGUUCUGUUACAACCAACAGCGAUGCCCCCCUCCUCAUCCAUUUUGCCUAGCUUCAUCCAGGUACUUCAUUUGGGCACAUAAUUGUCUUUGCUAAUUUUCCAUACUAUAAAAGUUGGAGUGGAGGUGGUUGGUGGGUUGUCCUAAUCCAGAAGCUGGUUACAGUGAUGGACAUGUUCUGUUUGAAGCAACAAAUCCCACUAUCAUGGUUGUUGCGCAACACACAUCGCCUACAUUUUCAGGAAAUCAAUAUUGCACCAGCAAUGUUGGUUCCGGAUUUGGCUCCUGCAAGAUCAGUAAGAGAGGCUAUACAAGAAGUCAAAAUGGUCCAUACCCUGAUAUGCUGGAGGUAGGGAAUGGUGGCAUGGCUUUUUCAGAGUAUCGCUCACAUUUUAGCAUCUAGGCUCUCAUGAAGUGUUCAUGAAGACUGGACCAAUUUUGUCAGUCACAUUCGGUUACUACUUCAUCAGUCAUUAAUGGGGUAUACUUGGGUAGUGGAAUAAACCGAACAGUCUUGUAAAAUAAAAAAUACUAAUUUUAUUGCUCAAAAUCUGUCUUUUUAUAUCUGAUUGAUGACUAAUGUCUUGUGUGACUGCUCUCCUGAAUCACUGUACAUUUAUUGUAAACUUGCUUAUGACCCAUGUUUUUAGUGCUCAAACCACAACAUUGAUAAUA